GCUGCUGUGGGCUAGUGGAUAAGGAGAUUGAUUAGUGAUCAGUAGGUCACUGGUUCAAUCCCCAGCUCCA